CUGUUUUCUCCUUUUUCUUUCUUUCGCGCACCGCCGCCCACCCCAAAUCUCCUCUCUUCCUCACGCCAUCUGCCCAAGCCACCACCAGUCCGCAUCCUUCCACUGCUGCUGAUUCCACCACCAUACUCUGCCCCAAAGCCUGCUGGCUGCGGCUGAAGGUCUUCACUGCCGUCACUGCCGGACAAGCGUUAUUGCCAGCGGUGGAUAUGAUAGUAAGCAAAUCCUGAGGUAGCUGAUAUUAAAGGUAAUUUUUGAGCUGUCUUUCUCAAUAUAUAAGUUCAAAUAUACAACAGAUUUCUGCCAUUUUGAUUGCUGCAUCUUUCUUGCCAUUUGCUGUGAUUGUUUGGCUUAAAGCUUUCUACCAUAUUUGCAUAUGAUUAAAGAUGGUGUUUGAACGAUGAGUUGUGUUCGCGUUCUGGGCUUCAUGAUCUUGUGUCGGUCCAAGCUUUUGAUGUUUUGUUGUUGAUGUAUUUGGUUGAUAAUGAAACCCAGCAGUGAAUAAGAAGAAAUCAGCGCCUGAUGCCUAUCAGUUUUGUUUUCAAGCAGCAUUUUGAUUUCUCUUUGUUUCAUACUUAGCGACAACAUAUAGAGAUGGGGUAACCUGCUAUGUGUAAGAAGAACCCAUGAGAGUGUAGCCAUUUUGACAAGCUUUUUGUUCGCUGUGGUGUCGAUUUGGGAUUGAAGUCGGUGGUGUUCAGUUGGUAUACUAUGCGGACAUUCAUCACAAGUUUCUGUUCUUGCUCAUUCUUGCUGCAGUCUGUAGGUUUGUUUGCAUUAUUGAAUGUAUCCGAAGUGGGUAAUUGUAUUUGAGUGUUUGUUAGCAACCUGGGUUAAGAGCUGUAGUAUUGGGUUGGGAGGGUAAAAUUAAUAGGCUUUAUGUGCAUGAAUGUGCUUUAGCUGAAGGGGAAAUGUUGAAGAAAGAAUGGUGGCUGGAAUUUGCAGAAUGCAUGAGUUUCUUCGUGAUUUUUUGCAUCAGUUCCUUCUAUGUUUCUUGCUUGUUUGGAUGUCAAAUUGGUAUUGUGUUGUUUAGCUUAAAGUUUGGGUGUUGGAUGUUGGAUCUGAAUUCGGUAUUUGAAGUUGGAAUAAAAGUGUAGUAGUCCGUUUGUUUUGAUUACAGAAGCAUAGUUUCAGUUGCAGAAAUAGGAACAAAGAAAGCUUUCAUUUGCAUGCAUGGAUUUUCCCAAAAAAUUGCACUUUGACCCCUCAAGUCCCCUCUUGCUUCACAAAGGCCCAAUUAUGUGCUGAUUUCUUGCAAUUAGGUCCUAGAGUAAUUACGAUUUGAACCAUUACUUGACCCCUUUAUUACUUUUGGACCUUUGAAGCUCCCAAAAUAUUUCAAUUGGCCUUGAAUGAUUGGUUAAUGGUUGCUAUUGGGUCCUUAGUAGUUUUUCUAUUUUAGAAAUUUGAUCAAUAAUUUACUUUCUUUAAAAUUAUGCACUAUUUGAUUUCAUUUAAGUUGCAAUUGGGAGGGAUUUGGUGAUUUUGUUUAUACUUUACUAUUAAAUUGGUGCCUUGACCCCUUUUAUUAUUUUGGAGGGUAAAUAAGACUGUGAUUCCGCUUCAUUAGGGUAUCGACUCAAGGGAUGUACACCUUAUCCUUUAUUUUUGACUUUAUUUGACCCUACGUGCGUAUAUGUGUCUUAUGUGUGCAAUUGCAUGACUUUAAGUGUUUAUUUCAUUUUCACUUUAUUUAUUUCUCUAGUUGCUUAGUUUUUGCUUUAAUUUUCGUUCAAUUUCAUCAUUUGGGAGGCACUCAAAUGCCAAAAUUGUAAUAGUUAGGAAUUUAAUUAUUUUAUUCCUUCUUAUUUCCCCUUUUAGAUUGUAGUAGGCUUCCCCCUCCUGAUGUAAUAGUUAGGGCUUUAUUUGCUUUAUUUGCCUUAUGUGUGUUUUGCAUGCUUAGGUGCUAUGUGUUUAAUCGUUUUCCUUAGGUUUUGGCAUUUAGAUAUGCAUGCUUAUGUGUUAUGUGAAUUACGUGCUCACAUGUCUACUUGCUUUAAUUAUGCACAUUACUUAUAUAUGUGUAUGAUGGAUGCAAAUGCACGUAACUGUGGCUAGUCCAAUGCUAGUCAUGGUUGUCCCCUCGAGCUCUUACAAGUCCAAUGCUUGUGAGAGAGCGUAGAUGUGGGCUAGUCCAACGCUAGACCCUUAGGAGCCCCUUCACGCGAUAGAUCAUGAUUGUGUGAUAAAAUCACCUCAUCUCAUGCAUAUUUUACUUUCUAGGGUCUUUUAUCAUUUUGUAUGAUAUACCCCUUAUACAUAUAGCCCUUAUCCCUAAUUUCCCUAUAUAUAUCCCCCCUAUGUAUGAUACAUGACAUUAGACUUGCAUUUCAUUUUAGAAUUAGGAUUAGGGUAGUGCAUUUGCUUGAUUAGAUUAGGAAAUAGCCCAUUGGAUAUGGGAUAUGGACGAGUUUGGCUUUUCUAGCCUUAGCACGCUCGUAUUCCCUCUAUUAAAAGAAAAAAUUGAGUCACGAACAUUAGUCCCCCGUACCCGACAUGAUGCAUUCCUUUAAGACAUGUAUAUUUCUAUAAUUAUUUUAUCCUUUUCCUUUUCUUAGAGUCUCAUAUUUUUGCAUUAUUCGUGACCUCUCCAAAGAGUCAUUAUUGGGCAUCACAAUUAAUGUGAUUGACACCAUUCAAGUUUUGAAGAGAAAUUUUGACCCUCGAUACCUUCCUAGGUCUAGGGUUGCAUUCAUAUAGCACAUCCAAAUGUGAUAAAUCUUAAGAUUAAAACAAGAAAAUCUUUGACUAAAUCACGCAACUAGCCUUGGCUAGGUCGAAGGGGUGCCUUGGAUUUUUAUCCUUGCCUUCCCCUUCGUUAAAUGUGACUCCCGAACCUUUCCUUUGAUUUUCGUAGACUAGGAGUCGUUUAAAAAGGGUUUUCUAUUUUUUCGAAAAAUUCAUUUUUAGGUGACUUGGUACACCUUAAUUCUAUACCAAGUGGCGACUCCAUUUUUCAUUCAAUAAACCCUUUUUAAACUAUAUUUUGGGUCGAAUCGUCGCAUUUUUAAGUCCCAUUUAGACCCAUAUUUUUCUUCAUUUUCUUUGUAAAUCAAAAUUCAUUUUUCAAAUCAAAAAUUCACUUUUUUAAACCAUUUAUUUAUUUAUUUUUCUUACAAAAAAUGGGGCGCGACACUUUUCUUUGUUUAAUAGCCAAAUUUGUUACCUUAAAUCUUUUUCGUUUGAACCUUCUCAUUGGAACCUUGUGUCAAAGGAAUACAUUAAUAUUCUUGCAUGAAAAUUUCAAAGUGUUCUAAAAGUACGUUUAUGGUUGGCAAGUGUGGUAGUUAUGUUGUGCAUUUAAAAAAAAGAGAGAAAUGAGGGAAAAAAUACAAAAAAAUACAAGAACAAAUAUUAAAAAAAAUGAAAAGUUGAAAAAAAAAUAAAAAAAUUUUGUUGUGAAGUGCACUUGUGUUAUUUUGUGGUAGUUGGGCCAAUGCCUAAAUUGCCUUUGCACUUGCCAAGUUUGGAGAAGUUAUUGACAUGCUUUGAAGCUAGCCAUACAUGUGAAUGACAAAGAAGUUUGACUUCAUGCAAAGUAUUAUUGGUAUUUCUUUUUAUAUAUUUACACCUAAAAUUUUCCCUUUUAUCCAAUCCUUAACCCAAGCCCUGUUACAACCCUUAUAAAGACCCAUUGAUUUUUGCAUUCAAUUCAUUUUAAGUGGUGAAAAUGUGAUAUAUUAGCAAGCUUAUAGUAAUGUCAUUUCAUGGUAUUGAUUUGAGUGUUAAAUAUCCCCUUAAACAUUUGAGUGCUAAGUGUAUACAUUAUUAUCCAUGUGAGAGCUAUUGAAUCUUGUGCAUCCUGAUUUUGAUAAAAUUGUUGAGAAGACAUGAUACUUGUGUUAGUAUGCACUGUGCUAUGAAAUAUUUGCCAUCUUGGCUGUGAUCCUUGGGUAGUGAAUGCUUGAGGGCAAGCAUGGUUUAGGAGUGGGGGAAUUUGUUAAGUGGCUAAUUGUGCAUAUAAUUUGUGAAUAAUUUCCCCUUUAUUUUGCUAAAAUAUGGUGUUAAUUGAUAGAUUUUACUCAUAUUUGAUUUUUCGUGUUAUUUCUAGGAAUUUGUGCUAAAAAGAGAAUAAAAGGUGCGUCAAA
rnacentral:lncRNA from 1 species